UACUCUCAGCGAUGGAUCACUUGGCUCGUGCGUCGAUGAGGAACGCAGCUAGCUGCGAUAAUUAAUGUUACCUGCCAGGCACACUGAUCAUCGACAAUUCGAAUGCACUUGGCGGCCCUGGGUGUUCCUGUGGCCAUAUCUGUCUGUGGGUUG